rnacentral:tRNA from 1 species
GGAGAGAUGGCCGAGUGGCUUAAGGCGGUGGUCUUGAAAACCAUUGUGGGGAAACUCACCGGGGGUUCGAAUCCCUCUCUCUCCGCCA